UUGGGGUUUUUGAGGUUUACCAUGGGGCACCAAUGGAAUAGCAAAUGACAAGAUAAAACCUGAAAGACAAACGUGAAGGUUCAAAUCUCAAUAGAUGUGGCAAAAUAAGAUGAAUAUCAUUUGAGAAUAAAAGAACGGACAUAGUAUCUUCUGAAGCCUUUUCUACUCCUGUGAUAUUUUUCAUUUUCAAGUAUGAUACAAGUCUAAAGAAGAUAAACAUGCCCUGCUUUUAUCAGGUGCUUUGUGGUGUCCUAGCAGAUGUGCCAUGGCAGCUCACUGACUCCAAGCACACAGGCUGAGCUUGCAUCACAUGACUGCCCUGUGAAGGUCCCACACCUAUUCCAGAUGACAAAUGGAGGAGAGAUGGAUUGCUGAGUGAUUGUGAGAAGAAGGCAGAAUGGAUGCUAAGUUACAAACUACAGCAAAAUCAAAUAUAUCUAGAUAUACUUUCUGACUCUACUAGUUAUUCUCUAAAUUUAGAUGUGUUAAUAUUUCUGAUCCUCAG